rnacentral:rRNA from 1 species
UACGUAGGGUGCAAGCGUUGUCCGGAAUUAUUGGGCGUAAAGAGCUCGUAGGCGGUUUGUCGCGUCUGCUGUGAAAACGCGAGGCUCAACCUCGCGCCUGCAGUGGGUACGGGCAGACUAGAGUGCGGUAGGGGUGACUGGAAUUCCUGGUGUAGCGGUGGAAUGCGCAGAUAUCAGGAGGAACACCAGCGCGAAGGCAGGAUCUCUGG